rfam:Triticum aestivum genome assembly, contig: Triticum_aestivum_CS42_TGACv1_scaffold_374864_5AL
GACAUACUCCCUCCGUCCCGAGUUACUUGUCUUAGAUUUGUCCGUAUCUAGUCACUUUUAGUGUUAGAUACAUCCACUAGGCAAAUCUAAGACAAGUAAUUUGGGACGGAGGUAAUAUAAA